rnacentral:tRNA from 1 species
GUCAGAAUGGCCGAUCGGUCUAAGGCGCCAGACUCAAGUUCUGGCUCACGCAUGUGAGCGUGGGUUCGAAUCCCACUUCUGACA